GCAUAGCCGUAAAUAUUGGUAUUGUUGCAUACCCACAUAUCCGCCAGGGAACUACAAGCGCAAGCUUAAAACCCAAAGGACUUGGCGGUGCUUUACAACCAUCUAGAGGAGCCUGUUCUAGAACCGAUAAUCCCCGUUAAACCUCACCUUCUCUUGCCUUUUUCCACCUAUAUACCGCCGUCGUCAGCUUACCCUAUAAAGGCCCUAAAGUGAGCAAAACCAGUAUAACUCAAAACGUCAGGUCGAGGUGUAGUUCAUGAGAAGGGAAGAAAUGGGCUACAUUCGUCAAAAGACGAACAACGAAAGAUUAUUUGAAAACAUAAUCUGAAGGAGGAUUUAGUAGUAAGAAGAAAAUAGAGUGUUCUUCUGAACAUGGCACUAAAGCACG
rnacentral:rRNA from 1 species